UGGAGCAUGUGGUUAAUUCGACGCAACGCGAAGAACCUUACCAGGCUUGACAUCCCCUGACCGCGUAUGAAAGUACGUUUUCACCUCGGGUGACAGGGAGACAGGUGGUGCAUGGUUGUCGUCAGCUCGUGUCGUGAGAUGUUGGGUUAAGUCCCGCAACGAGCGCAACCCCUACGUUUAGUUGCUAACAGGUGAAGCUGAGCACUCUAGACGAACUGCCGUUGACAAAACGGAGGAAGGUGGGAUGACGUCAAAUCAUCAUGCCCCUUAUGUUCUGGGCUACACACGUGCUACAAUGGCCGGUACAGACGGAGGCGAAGCCGCGAGGCGGAGCAAAUCCGAAAAAGCCGGUCUCAGUUCGGAUUGCAGGCUGCAAUUCGCCUGCAUGAAGUCGGAAUCGCUAGUAAUCGCAGGUCAGCAUACUGCGGUGAAUACGUUCCCGGGCCUU
rnacentral:rRNA from 1 species